CCUACGGGAGGCUGCAGUGAGGAAUAUUGGUCAAUGGACGGAAGUCUGAACCAGCCAUGCCGCGUGCAGGAAGACGGCUCUAUGAGUUGUAAACUGCUUUUGUACAAGGGUAAACCUGAAUACGUGUAUUCAGCUGAAAGUACUCUACGAAUAAGGAUCGGCUAACUCCGUUCCAGCAGCCGCGGUAAUACGGAGGAUCCAAGCGUUAUCCGGAUUUAUUGGGGUUAAAGGGUGCGUAGGCGGAUUGAUAAGUUAGAGGUGAAAUGUCCGGGCUUAACUCGGGAACUGCCUUUAAUACUGUUGUUCUAGAGAGUAGGAGAGGUAGGCGGAAUGUAUGGUGUAGCGGUGAAAUGCUUAGAGAUCAUACAGAACACCGAUUGCGAAGGCAGCUUACCAAUCUAUAUCUGACGUUGAGGCACGAAAGUGUGGGUAUCAAACAGGAUUAGAUACCCGAGUAGUC
rnacentral:rRNA from 1 species